GACGAACGCUGGCGGCGUGCUUAACACAUGCAAGUCGAACGGUAAGGCCCUUCGGGGUACACGAGUGGCGAACGGGUGAGUAACACGUGGGUGAUCUGCCCUGCACUUCGGGAUAAGCCUGGGAAACUGGGUCUAAUACCGGAUAGGACCACUGCCUGCAUGGGUGGUGGUGGAAAGCUUUUGCGGUGUGGGAUGGGCCCGCGGCCUAUCAGCUUGUUGGUGGGGUGAUGGCCUACCAAGGCGACGACGGGUAGCCGGCCUGAGAGGGUGACCGGCCACACUGGGACUGAGGCACGGCCCAGACUCCUACGGGAGGCAGCAGUGGGGAAUAUUGCGCAAUGGGCGAAAGCCUGACGCAGCAACGCCGCGUGAGGGAUGACGGCCUUCGGGUUGUAAACCUCUUUCAGCAGGGAAGAAGCGAAAGUGACGGUACCUGCAGAAGAAGCACCGGCUAACUACGUGCCAGCAGCCGCGGUAA
rnacentral:rRNA from 1 species